GCGGACGUGGCGAAACUGGUAGACGCACGAGACUUAAAAUCUUGCGCCUUCAAAGGCUUGCGGGUUCGAGUCCCGCCGUCCGCACCA
rnacentral:tRNA from 14 species